UGGGGAAUAUUGCACAAUGGGCGCAAGCCUGAUGCAGCCAUGCCGCGUGUAUGAAGAAGGCCUUCGGGUUGUAAAGUACUUUCAGUCGGGAGGAAGGUGGUAAGGUUAAUAACCUUAUCAAUUGACGUUACCGACAGAAGAAGCACCGGCUAACUCCGUGCCAGCAGCCGCGGUAAUACGGAGGGUGCAAGCGUUAAUCGGAAUUACUGGGCGUAAAGCGCACGCAGGCGGUUGAUUGAGUCAGAUGUGAAAUCCCCGGGCUUAACCCGGGAAUUGCAUCUGAUACUGGUCAGCUAGAGUCUUGUAGAGGGGGGUAGAAUUCCAUGUGUAGCGGUGAAAUGCGUAGAUAUAUGGGGGAACACCAGUGGCGAAGGCGGCUCUCUGGUCUGUAACUGACGCUGAGGCUCGAAAGCGUGGGGAGCAAACAGG
rnacentral:rRNA from 1 species